CCUACGGGAGGCAGCAGUGGGGGAUAUUGCACAAUGGGGGGAACCCUGAUGCAGCGACGCCGCGUGAGUGAAGAAGUAUUUCGGUAUGUAAAGCUCUAUCAGCAGGGAAGAAAAUGACGGUACCUGACUAAGAAGCCCCGGCUAACUACGUGCCAGCAGCCGCGGUAAU
rnacentral:rRNA from 1 species